AUCUUGCACCAGAUGGUGCCUCUUGUCUCCAUCUAUCUCUAGCCCAAACAAUCUGCCAGAGUUUUGAAGAAAAAUGGGAUGCGAUCGUGUUGCAAAGUAUAUGAAGAAACAGUAUGAAAAGUAAUCUGGCUGAAGCAAUGGGACCCAGAAGGAAGGGUUUAUUAUCGCUCUCUGAGCCUGUGUAUGAGGGCAAUGCCAUCUUCAUUUCGUCUAAAACAAAAGACAAACAGUCUGUUUUAGCCUCUGAAAAUUUCAAAUUCCAACCACAAAAGGCACAAGCCUGUUCUAUUCUGUGAAUGCUUUCAAGUCUGUGGAAGAGAGAGGACGUGAUGAAAUUCUCUUCAUUAAUUCUAAGCAAUGAUUGGAAGGCUUUUACUGGGGGAAAUGAAGAUUACACCAAUCAAGAGGUAAAACAGUCAACAAGAACCAGUGCUU